rnacentral:rRNA from 1 species
GAUGAACGCUGGCGGCGUGCCUAAUACAUGCAAGUCGAGCGAACGGACGAGAAGCUUGCUUCUCUGAUGUUAGCGGCGGACGGGUGAGUAACACGUGGAUAACCUACCUAUAAGACUGGGAUAACUUCGGGAAACCGGAGCUAAUACCGGAUAAUAUUUUGAACCGCAUGGUUCAAAAGUGAAAGACGGUCUUGCUGUCACUUAUAGAUGGAUCCGCGCUGCAUUAGCUAGUUGGUAAGGUAACGGCUUACCAAGGCAACGAUGCAUAGCCGACCUGAGAGGGUGAACGGCCACACUGGAACGGAGACACGGACCAGACUCCUACGGGAGGCAGCAGUAGGGAAUAUUCCGCAAUGGGCGAAAGCCUGACGGAGCAACGCCGCGUGAGUGAUGAAGGUCUUCGGAUCGUAAAACUCUGUUAUUAGGGAAGAACAUAUGUGUAAGUAACUGUGCACAUCUUGACGGUACCUAAUCAGAAAGCCACGGCUAACUACGUG